UACGGAGGGUGCAAGCGUUAAUCGGAAUUACUGGGCGUAAAGCGCACGCAGGUGGCUGAGUCAGUCGAUUGUGAAAGCCCUGGGCUUAACCUGGGAAUUGCAGUCGAUACUACUCAGCUAGAGUAUGGGAGAGGGUAGUGGAAUUCCCGGUGUAGUGGUGAUAUGCGUAGAUAUCGGGAGGAACACCAGUGGCGAAGGCGGUUGCCUGGGGCUUUGCUGACGCUGAUGCGCGAAAGCAUGGGGAGCGAACGGG
rnacentral:rRNA from 1 species